UAUUUCAGAGCUAAUUUGAAGAAGCCAGGCGCUUUUCUCUUCCCCUCCCCAAGACUGCCUUUAUCUGAAAGAAGAAAGAAGGCACUGUUACAUUUUGCAUGCAAAGAAAGCCAGAGUGGCUAGAUUACUCCCUUAGGGUAAUGGAGAAAGGAAAAAGAAAUUGAAAAAGGUCAGGUGAACAAAGCAGAAGGAAUGAAGAGGUUUGUGUGAUUCUUAGUGAAAUUGGACCAGUCUAAGCAACCAGACAGACUGAAUCUGGCUCUGUCACCUAGGCUGUAGUGCAAUGGCGUGAUCUCAGCUCACUGCAACCUCAGCCUCCUGGGUUCAAGUGAUUCUUCUGCCUCGGCCUCCCGAGUAGCUGGGACUACAGCCUGCAGAUACCUACCUUGCUUGGCCCUAUCUAAUUGAUUUUGGACUGAAUUAUUCAUGAAGGAAGGAGGAAGAAAGGAAGACAGGAAUCAGUUUCCAGGCUAGUCAUUCUUUUUGUAAUCUUACAACUUUUCACUGUGUUUGAGGCACUUCUUGCUUUUCUAUAUUCUCAUAUAAUUAUUUUCAUGUCUUUGGCAGAUGGAUUAGCUGGCUAUAAAAUUCUAGCUUAACUGUUUUUUUUUCUUUUCACUACAUUAAAAAAAUAAACAUUUUAAAGGGAAUUAUUUUAGUUUUACAGAAAAGCAGAUAAUACAAAGUUUUUGUGUACUCACCCAUAUUUGUCCGGAUGUUAACAUCUUAGAUGACCAUCUCUCUGCACUUUUAAAAUACCAUUUCAUUAACUUCUUAUAUCUACUUUUGCUGACAAGGAAUCUACUGUCAAUACAAUUGUCACACUGUUUUAGGUUGUUUGUCUUUUCUCGCUGAUGAAUUUUAAGACCGUCUCUUUACCCUUCAUUUCAACAUUUCACUUCAGUAUGUCCAAGCUUGGUUUUAUUUGUAUUUAUUCUACUUAGUAUUUGGAUUAUACUGAUCUGAUGAUUAAUUAAUUAAUUAAGACUUAAUUAAUUUCUUUAAUUCUGGAAAAUGAUCAGUAACAAUUUUUUUUUUUGAAGCCGUUUCACCGCAUCCUCGGCCUCCUGGAUUCAAGUGAUUCUCAUGCCUCAGCCUCCCAAGCAGUUAGGUAUGUGCCACCAUGCCCAGCUAAUUUUUGUAUUUUUAGUAGAAAUAGGGUUUUGCCAUAUUGGCCAGCCUGGUGUCAAACUUCUGGCCUCAAGUGAUCUGCCCACCUCGGCCUCCCAAAGUACUGGGAUUACAGGCAUGAACCCAUCCAACAACAAGUUUUUCAAACAUUUAUUCCUUAUCAUUCAUUUCAGUUUCUUCUUUGGAAAUCCUAUUCAUUAAAAUAUUUAAAUCUCUCAAUCUAUCUUUCACAUUUCAUACACUGCUAUUUAAAUUCUAUCUAUCUAUCUAUUAUCUCUUCCUCUCUCUCUGUCAUCUCUGUCUAAAAGUUGGGGAGGACAGUAUAGUUCUGUUUGUUUGUUUGUUUGUUUAUUUAUUUAUUUAUGAGACAAGGCCUUUCUCUGUUGCCCGGGCUGGAAUGCAGUGGCAUGAUCAUAGCUCAUGGUAGCCUUAAAUUCCUGGACUCAAGCCAUCUUCCUGUCUAAGCCUCCCAAUAGCUGGACUUACAGGCAUGUGCCACCAUGUCUGGCUAAUUAAAAAAAUUUUUUUGUAUAGAUGGAGUCUCACUAUGCUGCACAGGCUGGUCUCAAAGUCCCGGCUUCAAGUGAUGCUCCCACCUCGGCCUCCCAAAGUAGUGAGAUUAUAGGUGUGAGCCAUGGUGCCCAAUCCUGUUUUUGAAUUUUAAAAGUCAAUCAAUAUAUAUUAUUUUCUAAAUUUCUAAUUGUUUCUUUUAAAUGUUCACUUAUUUCUGUGGCAUUUUAAAACCUGUUUUUUUGGUUGAAGAAUUUUGUAUUCUCUUUUUUGCAAUGCUCACUGUUUAUAAUUUAAAGUCUUUGUUCAGCUGUCCAAUAAAAUUAAUUUUCCAGACUGAAUGCAUGAUUGUUAAUUUUGUUGGCUUUCUUUUGUAGCAACCUAUUUUUGUUUCUGGAAGUUUUGGUUUACCAGUAAUUUUGAAUAAGGCUUUUUUUGUUUGGUUUUUCAUUUGUCUCUCUUUCUCCCAUCUCUACCCAUCUGCCUCUCUGUUCAACAUUUUUGCAGUUCUCCCUUACAACGUCUUUCAGAACCCUAAAUCUAUAAUGAGGCUUUAAAUUAAUGGCUGGUUGGUUGGAGUUCCUGCCCUGUAGUGAUGGUAGAGUACCCAAUAACCAGUCAUAUGGCCAAGGAGCAGUUUGGCUCAGUUCUUAGUGGCAGGGCUGUGGGUUUUUAAGCUAUAGUGUAUGCAUUCUCCACAGGGGCAAUGUUGCACCUGACCAGUUAAAAUUUGAUUCUUAGAAAGUGAAUAAUCUUGGAUAUUACAAUGGUUUGUGGAUCUUCAAAGCACAACCCUACCUCCUAAAAAUUGUAUUCCUUAGCAUUUAAUUUCUCUCACUAGGAAAAAUUUAAAUAACAUGUAUCUUUUUAGAGGGAUAAUAAUGAAAAUAAAAGUUGAGAAACACUGCAACACCUCUAAGCAGAAGUUGGCUGUUUUUUUUUUCAGUCUACUUCCUUAAGCAGCGAGCCCGAUUCUGCCUUAUCUAUAGAACUUUAAAAACUCCUAUGGAGCUGAGCUUCUGGCCACCAAGGCCCCAGCUUCAGCCUGGCUCUCAGUUUUCAGCUCUGUUCCAUGGAGAUGUUUAUCUUUUUUUGAAUAUGACACAUUUUCUCCUUUUACAUACUUUAUCCCAUAUUUUCACAUAUUUGGAUCAUAAAAAGGAAAUCAAACCAUGAACUCAUUGCCCUCUCUUGAUGAAAUCAAUAUCUAUUAUGUUAUUUACCAACUACUAUUCUGAUGACCAUAAAGUUUUUUUUUCUCUUAACUUUUGUGACUUACAAUACAGAAAUAUCCAGCUGUUAGAUAGCAAUUGUUUUCAACCAGUUAUUUAUGCUUUAGUUUCUAGCUUUGUAUUUUUGAGGUUGCUAAAUAAGGUAAAUCCUCUUUAGUGGUGUCGUCUUCAAUGAAAGGUUUUGGAUUUUGCAGUUGGAAAUUUAUGGCUGAAUUUCUUUUCUUUUUUUUUUUUGAGAUGGAGUCUCGCUCUGUUGCCCAGGCUGGAGUGCAGUGGCAUGAUCUUGGCUCACUAUAACCUCUUAUGGCUGAAUUUCUCUCGGGUAUCAUUCAAUGCAUUUACAAUAUAUUGUUUGACAACAUUUGUAAUUGUAUUUCGAAUCCUUCUUCCAUUGUUUCAAUCAGGAGAGCAUGAACUUCGACCUUCAUGUUUCAUCUGGCAGUAUAGCACAGGGGUUAAAGGGCAGAGUGCUCUGUUUGCAAAUUCUAGCUGUGCCAUUCAUUUGCUAGCUGUUUGCCUUGGGCAAGUUAUUAAAUCUCUCCAUGCCUCAGUUUUCUUAUAUGUAAAAUGGGUUGAUUAUAAUAAGAGUAGUUCCUAUCUCAUAAAACUGUGUGAAACAUUAAAUGUAUGAAUAUAUGCAAAACUCUUAGAACAGACGUAAGAUAAGCACUCAAUAAGCAUCAAUUUUUGCAUUUUUCCCCAUGCUUUGCCUCUUGUUUUUAAGCUUUUAUAUUUCUGAGAAU